rnacentral:rRNA from 1 species
CCUACGGGUGGCAGCAGUGAGGAAUAUUGGUCAAUGGACGAAAGCCUGAACCAGCCAAGUAGCGUGCAGGAUGACUGCCCUACGGGUUGUAAACCUCUUUUAUACGGGGAUAACAUGUUCCACGUGUGGGGUUCUGUAUGUACCAUAUGAAUAAGGAUCGGCUAAUUCCGUGCCAGCAGCCGCGGUAAUACGGAGGAUCCGAGCGUUAUCCGGAUUUAUUGGGUUUAAAGGGAGCGUAGGUGGAUUGUUAAGUCAGUUGUGAAAGUUUGCGGCUCAACCGGAAAAUUGCAGUUGAAACUGGAAGUCUUGAGUACAGUAGAGGUGGGCGGAAUUCGUGGUGUAGCGGUGAAAUGCUUAGAUAUCACGAAGAACUCCGAUUGCGAAGGCAGCUUACUGGACUGCAACUGACGCUGAGGCUCGAAAGUGUGGGUAUCAAACAGGAUUAGAUACCCGUGUAGUC